UACGGUAGGGGGCGAGCGUUGUCCGGAGUACUGGGCGUAAAGCGCACGCAGGCGGUCUGCUAAGUUUGGAGUGACAGUUGGUGGCUUAACUGCCAAAGUGCUUCGAAAACUGACAGACUUGAGGGCUUCAGAGGGACACGGAAUUCCGGGUGGAGUGGUGAAAUGCGUAGAGAUCCGGAGGAACACCAAAGGCGAAGGCGGCGAUCUGGGUCGAUACUGACGCUGAGGUGCGAAAGCGUGGGGAGCAAACAGG
rnacentral:rRNA from 1 species